AGUGAACGCUGGCGGUAGGCCUAACACAUGCAAGUCGAACGGCAGCACAGUAAGAGCUUGCUCUUACGGGUUGCGAGUGGCGGACGGGUGAGGAAUACAUCGGAAUCUACUUUUUCGUGGGGGAUAACGUAGGGAAACUUACGCUAAUACCGCAUACGACCUACGGGUGAAAGCAGGGGAUCUUCGGACCUUGCGCGAUUGAAUGAGCCGAUGUCGGAUUAGCUAGUUGGCGGGGUAAAGGCCCACCAAGGCGACGAUCCGUAGCUGGUCUGAGAGGAUGAGCAGCCACACUGGAACUGAGACACGGUCCAGACUCCUACGGGAGGCAGCAGUGGGGAAUAUUGGACAAUGGGCGCAAGCCUGAUCCAGCCAUACCGCGUGGGUGAAGAAGGCCUUCGGGUUGUAAAGCCCUUUUGUUGGGAAAGAAAAGCAGCAGGUUAAUACCCCGCUGUUCUGACGGUACCCAAAGAAUAAGCACCGGCUAACUUCGUG
rnacentral:rRNA from 1 species